rnacentral:antisense_RNA from 1 species
CUUCACCGACCCGAGCAGCAGCGGGCCGCGCGCGCGACCCCGGCCGUAGGUGGCCAGCAGGGCCUGGGCCUC